rnacentral:lncRNA from 1 species
CAAUGUACUCCUCCCUGCCCAACCUGAAUCAACAAAUAAAUGAGUUUACCUCCUCUUUAAUUACAGGCACUGGCUGGCACUGCAUUCUCUGGGAUCCUCUGGAUCUGGGCUCCUUGACCCAGAAUCUGAACUGCAAAUGUCAAUCAGCUCAGCUAACCAGUGUCUCCUCAGGGAAGAGAGCCAGGAGCUCCUCAAUGGGAUCUAGAAAAGGAAACACCUGAUGGCACGCAAGCAACCUUAUUAAAUUCCAGCCAGAUCCCACCCACUGUGCUGAUCUUCUUCACCUGUGACACUUCCAACAAGAUGAGGU